rnacentral:rRNA from 1 species
ACUUCUACGGGAGGCAGCAGUGGGGAAUAUUGGACAAUGGGCGGAAGCCUGAUCCAGCAACGCCGCGUGAGGGAUGACGGCCUUCGGGUUGUAAACCUCUUUCACCGAUGGCGAAGCCGCUUCUUUUUGGGUGGUUGGACGGUAGUCGGAGAAGAAGCACCGGCCAACUACGUGCCAGCAGCCGCGGUAAUACGUAGGGUGCGAGCGUUGUCCGGAAUUAUUGGGCGUAAAGGGCUCGUAGGCGGUCUGUUGCGUCGGGAGUGAAAACA